UUUUAACUGGCAAUACCGUGUGAUGUUUCCAUGACGACGGAAUAUUCCCAGUUAACAUUACUGAAUUUAUGAGAUUAAGGAAAAACUUCAUCAGCGACUUGUAUCAAAAUUUUGCUGAGGGCUUCAGAACAGUCCGAUUCAUUACCAGAAGUAAUAGGAGGGAGAGAUGAUAAUUUAUUUUGUACACCAAUUUGGAAUUUAUCCCAAUUAUUAUUAUUAUUUAACUUAUGUUUGUAAAAAUAAUUUCUUUUUCGAGGAUGUUUUUUAUGAAUUGGUAAUGAAAUGAUAAUAGGAAAAUGGUCACUCCCAUAUGCAGAUGAAAGGAUAGACCAUGAUAGAGAGGAAGAUAAAUUGGAAGAACAAAUAGAGAGAUCUACAGCACUAUUUCUUUCAGUGGGAGCAGUAAUACGAGUAGGUACUGGGUCAUUUAAAACACACAGAUUAUGGGAAUCAAGAAGGCCUAACAAUUGCUCACCAUGGUAAUUAGAAUAGGAGCUGCCCCAAGCUUGAUGAUGGCAAUUGAAAUCACCCAUAAUUAAAAAAGGUUUAGGAAGAAUUGAAAAUAACUCAUUUAAAUAUGCAAUAAUUGAAGAGGAAGGACGAGGUAUAUAAAGGGAGACUAAACAAAUAUCGCUGACAACAGCAGCAACCAUAGAAAUAUUGUUUUUGUCAAAAAGAGGUAAAGAAAUAGAAGAAAAAUGAGUAGCUUUAUUGAUGAGUAAGGCAGCCCCACCAUACCCAUCUGGCCUAUCAUCUCGAAUACAAGAGUAUUCUGAUAAUUUGAAAUUAAAAUCAGGUUUAAGCCAAGUUUCAGUUAGUGCAAUAACAAGUGGUUGUUGAUAUUUAUUGAUUAAAUGAAUUAAAUCACUUUUUUUGCUAAGUACACUUCUGCAAUUCCAUUGGACUACUUGAUCCAUUAUGGAGUAGAUUUUUGAAUAUUUCUAUAAAUGGGGCAACGUGGGACGGUAUUAUAUUAGAACUUACAAUACCUGACCAUCAAAUGUGACUACUACUGUCUGAGAAGGUUUCCAAGUGGGAGAGCCAUCAACAACAACUUUGUAAUUUAGCCGUCUUACUUUAAGUAUAUUGCCACAACCGAUAGGAACAGAAAUAUUUUGUAAUAUUUCAUCUGGACUCCAAUCACUCGGAACACCUCGUACCAGACCCAUACGUGUAAUAUUAAAUGUUGGUAUAAAAGCCUGUAAUUUGUAAUCAUUUAAACUGUUAUGAUUAAUGAAUGUAUUAGCAUCAUGGUAAACUGAGAAAGAUAAUGCAAUUUUAUUUCGUCCAAUGCGUUUUACACUUCCAUUAAUAAUGUUUUUAAAAUACUGUUUUUUGAGGAAUUUACCAAAUGUCACAGGGUGAAGUGUAGUACCGUCAUUUGGAGACUUUUCUUGUCUUACUACAUGAACUAAGUAUGGGGCAUGGUCUGUGGGUUCAUACAUUUUCCUUGCUACUGGUUCAGAAAUAUUAUUAUUUUCAUUUGUUUCUUUAGAUGUGGAUGGAUGAGGGGGAUCUAAAUUUACAGAUUGUGGAGUGAAAAUCACUUCCGUGAGAGGUUUUUGUAUUUCAAUGCCA